CCUACGGGAGGCUGCAGUGGGGAAUAUUGCACAAUGGGCGCAAGCCUGAUGCAGCCAUGCCGCGUGUGUGAAGAAGGCCUUCGGGUUGUAAAGCACUUUCAGCGGGGAGGAAGGCGGUGAGGUUAAUAACCUCAUCGAUUGACGUUACCCGCAGAAGAAGCACCGGCUAACUCCGUGCCAGCAGCCGCGGUAAUACGGAGGGUGCAAGCGUUAAUCGGAAUUACUGGGCGUAAAGCGCACGCAGGCGGUCUGUCAAGUCGGAUGUGAAAUCCCCGGGCUCAACCUGGGAACUGCAUUCGAAACUGGCAGGCUAGAGGCUUGUAGAGGGGGGUAGAAUUCCAGGUGUAGCGGUGAAAUGCGUAGAGAUCUGGAGGAAUACCGGUGGCGAAGGCGGCCCCCUGGACAAAGACUGACGCUCAGGUGCGAAAGCGUGGCGAGCAAACAGGAUUAGAUACCCCAGUAGUC
rnacentral:rRNA from 1 species